UAAUGAUAUUUCUCCAACUCCUUGGAAAUGAUGACGGCAGGUAUUCUGGCUUGUACACGACACACACAAACGAGGCAGAAAUCAAAUGGAAUCUAAAUAAUUACUAUUUUGAAGGGUAAUAAUAAAAUGUUCAUUGAAACAAAGCAGUGAUAAACCACUCGGAACGUGUUAUACUUGUGACACCUAAGCGUAUGAUUCUUAUAUAAGAACAUUGUUCCAUUCUGCAUAAUGCACGAAGAAACACUGACGGGUUCAAUAUGAAUUCUGCAUUCUUUCUCAUUAUCUUGGCAAUAUACAUGAUGAUUUCCGUGACCGAAGGCUUUAAAGUGGACUGUCAACCCGAAUGCGAGGCAAAGCGCAAAAACAGUACUAUAAACUCUUGGUUGGAGUGUUUACGAGAGCACUGCAAAUGUCGAUAUGAUUGCUAUAAUUCAUUUUUGAAACAUGAAAAAUUUAACGCUUAUAUGAAGUGUUUAAGCGGUUGUCCAUGAAUUAUAUUCAACGUUUGUUGACUGUAUUCAAUUCACUGAAGAAACUCAAUAAAGAUUUGUGAUAUCAUAAGCAAUAAUUGUAUAGAGAGUACAGAUAUAGACAU